UGGGGAAUAUUGGGCAAUGGAGGGAACUCUGACCCAGCCAUGCCGCGUGCAGGAUGAAGGCGUUAUGCGUUGUAAACUGCUUUUAUAUAGGAAGAAAUAGUCCUUGCGAGGAAAGUUGACGGUACUAUAUGAAUAAGCACCGGCUAACUCCGUGCCAGCAGCCGCGGUAAUACGGAGGGUGCAAGCGUUGUCCGGAUUUAUUGGGUUUAAAGGGUGCGUAGGCGGUUUAUUAAGUCAGUGGUGAAAGACGGUCGCUCAACGAUUGCAGUGCCAUUGAUACUGGUAGACUUGAGUAUGAUUGAGGUAGCUGGAAUGGAUAGUGUAGCGGUGAAAUGCAUAGAUAUUAUCCAGAACACCAAUUGCGUAGGCAAGUUACUAAGUCAUAACUGACGCUGAGGCACGAAAGUGUGGGUAUCAAACAGGAUUAGAUACCCCCGUAGUCCCUGAGCGGGCUGGCAAGGCGCAU
rnacentral:rRNA from 1 species